UAUUUAAGUUGUUGCAGUUAAAAAGCUCGUAGUUGGAUUUCGGUUAAGAGCGACCGGUCCGCCGUUUGGUGUGCACUGGUUGGUUUUAACUUCCUGUAGAGGACGUGCUCUGGGUUUAACGACCUGGACUCGGAGUCUACGUGGUUACUUUGAAAAAAUUAGAGUGUUCAAAGCGGGCUUACGCUUGAAUAUUUCAGCAUGGAAUAACACUAUAGGACUCCUGUCCUAUUUCGUUGGUCUCGGGACGGGAGUAAUGAUUAAGAGGAACAGUUGGGGGCAUUCGUAUUUCAUUGUCAGAGGUGAAAUUCUUGGAUUUAUGAAAGACGAACUUCUGCGAAAGCAUUUGCCAAGGAUGUUUUCAUUAAUCAAGAACGAAAGUUGGGGGCUCGAAGAUGAUUAGAUACCAUCCUAGUCUCAACCAUAAACGAUGCCGACUAGGGAUUGGCGGAUGUUAAUUGAUGACUCCGCCAGCACCUUAUGAGAAAUCAAAGUUUUUGGGUUCCGGGGGGAGUAUGGUCGCAAGGCUGAAACUUAAAGGAAUUGACGGAAGG
rnacentral:rRNA from 1 species